rnacentral:rRNA from 1 species
UGGCGACCGGCGCACGGGUGAGUAACACGUAUCCAACCUGCCGAUGACUCGGGGAUAGCCUUUCGAAAGAAAGAUUAAUACCCGAUGGCAUAGUUCUUCCGCAUGGUGGAACUAUUAAAGAAUUUCGGUCAUCGAUGGGGAUGCGUUCCAUUAGAUAGUAGGCGGGGUAACGGCCCACCUAGUCUUCGAUGGAUAGGGGUUCUGAGAGGAAGGUCCCCCACAUUGGAACUGAGACACGGUCCAAACUCCUACGGGAGGCAGCAUG